rnacentral:rRNA from 1 species
GGGACACGUGGUAUCCUGUCUGAAUAUGGGGGGACCAUCCUCCAAGGCUAAAUACUCCUGACUGACCGAUAGUGAACCAGUACCGUGAGGGAAAGGCGAAAAGAACCCCGGCGAGGGGAGUGAAAAAGAACCUGAAACCGUGUACGUACAAGCAGUGGGAGCACGCUUAGGCGUGUGACUGCGUACCUUUUGUAUAAUGGGUCAGCGACUUAUAUUCUGUAGCAAGGUUAACCGAAUAGGGGAGCCGAAGGGAAACCGAGUCUUAACUGGGCGUUAAGUUGCAGGGUAUAGACCCGAAACCCGGUGAUCUAGCCAUGGGCAGGUUGAAGGUUGGGUAACACUAACUGGAGGACCGAACCGACUAAUGUUGAAAAAUUAGCGGAUGACUUGUGGCUGGGGGUGAAAGGCCAAUCAAACCGGGAGAUAGCUGGUUCUCCCCGAAAGCUAUUUAGGUAGCGCCUCGUGAAUUCAUCUCCGGGGGUAGAGCACUGUUUCGGCAAGGGGGUCAUCCCGACUUACCAACCCGAUGCAAACUGCGAAUACCGGAGAAUGUUAUCACGGGAGACACACGGCGGGUGCUAACGUCCGUCGUGAAGAGGGAAACAACCCAGACCGCCAGCUAAGGUCCCAAAGUCAUGGUUAAGUGGGAAACGAUGUGGGAAGGCCCAGACAGCCAGGAUGUUGGCUUAGAAGCAGCCAUCAUUUAAAGAAAGCGUAAUAGCUCACUGGUCGAGUCGGCCUGCGCGGAAGAUGUAACGGGGCUAAACCAUGCACCGAAGCUGCGGCAGCGACGCUUAUGCGUUGUUGGGUAGGGGAGCGUUCUGUAAGCCUGUGAAGGUGUGCUGUGAGGCAUGCUGGAGGUAUCAGAAGUGCGAAUGCUGACAUAAGUAACGAUAAAGCGGGUGAAAAGCCCGCUCGCCGGAAGACCAAGGGUUCCUGUCCAACGUUAAUCGGGGCAGGGUGAGUCGACCCCUAAGGCGAGGCCGAAAGGCGUAGUCGAUGGGAAACAGGUUAAUAUUCCUGUACUUGGUGUUACUGCGAAGGGGGGACGGAGAAGGCUAUGUUGGCCGGGCGACGGUUGUCCCGGUUUAAGCGUGUAGGCUGGUUUUCCAGGCAAAUCCGGAAAAUCAAGGCUGAGGCGUGAUGACGAGGCACUACGGUGCUGAAGCAACAAAUGCCCUGCUUCCAGGAAAAGCCUCUAAGCAUCAGGUAACAUCAAAUCGUACCCCAAACCGACACAGGUGGUCAGGUAGAGAAUACCAAGGCGCUUGAGAGAACUCGGGUGAAGGAACUAGGCAAAAUGGUGCCGUAACUUCGGGAGAAGGCACGCUGAUAUGUAGGUGAAGUCCCUUGCGGAUGGAGCUGAAAUCAGUCGAAGAUACCAGCUGGCUGCAACUGUUUAUUAAAAACACAGCACUGUGCAAACACGAAAGUGGACGUAUACGGUGUGACGCCUGCCCGGUGCCGGAAGGUUAAUUGAUGGGGUUAGCGCAAGCGAAGCUCUUGAUCGAAGCCCCGGUAAACGGCGGCCGUAACUAUAACGGUCCUAAGGUAGCGAAAUUCCUUGUCGGGUAAGUUCCGACCUGCACGAAUGGCGUAAUGAUGGCCAGGCUGUCUCCACCCGAGACUCAGUGAAAUUGAACUCGCUGUGAAGAUGCAGUGUACCCGCGGCAAGACGGAAAGACCCCGUGAACCUUUACUAUAGCUUGACACUGAACAUUGAGCCUUGAUGUGUAGGAUAGGUGGGAGGCUUGGAAGUGUGGACGCCAGUCUGCAUGGAGCCGACCUUGAAAUACCACCCUUUAAUGUUUGAUGUUCUAACGUUGACCCGU